GUUUGGGGCGGUGCGCCCGUUAAAGUCUAACGCGGGGGCUGAAGGCGAGCUCAUGGAGGCUAGGGACCUCCCGUGGAGCAGAAGGGCAAAAGCUCUCUUCGUCCUCAGUUUCAGUACGAGUACAGGCCGUGAAAAUGC
rnacentral:ncRNA from 1 species